rnacentral:rRNA from 1 species
AACGAACGCUGGCGGCAGGCUUAACACAUGCAAGUCGAACGCCCCGCAAGGGGAGUGGCAGACGGGUGAGUAACGCGUGGGAAUCUACCGUGCCCUGCGGAAUAGCUCCGGGAAACUGGAAUUAAUACCGCAUACGCCCUACGGGGGAAAGAUUUAUCGGGGUAUGAUGAGCCCGCGUUGGAUUAGCUAGUUGGUGGGGUAAAGGCCUACCAAGGCGACGAUCCAUAGCUGGUCUGAGAGGAUGAUCAGCCACAUUGGGACUGAGACUCGGCCCAAACUCCUACGGGAGGCAGCAGUGGGGAAUAUUGGACAAUGGGCGCAAGCCUGAUCCAGCCAUGCCGCGUGAGUGAUGAAGGCCUUAGGGUUGUAAAGCUCUUUCACCGAUGAAGAUAAUGACGGUAGUCGGAGAAGAAGCCCCGGCUAACUUCGUGCCAGCCGCCGCAGUAA